ACCUGGUUAAUACAAACGUAGUCUGGGUAAACAUGCAGGAGUUGCCAUGCAGAAUAGAGGCAGAGCAUUCUUUACCACCACUGUACUGACUCAGUUUAAUCACACACCCCGAAGUUUAUUUUGUGGAAGUGGCACCGUGAAAUGCUGUCAUAGAAUCCUGCAAGGCAUUUUGGGACGUGUAGUUCAGCCUUCAACAGGAAGACCACCGGAGCUGGGGGCAGAUGCUUCAGGGAAGGAUGCCUUAUGUGUGCACGUUCUCCAUACUGUCCUGCAUUGUUCCCUUCUUUACCUCACCGCUUAGAUGCAGUGCAGUGCAGGACAUAUUUGUUGGCAAUCAUGAGGGCUUUGGAGAGGAACCGAAUGGUGGAAACUGAGAUUUCCAAAGCCUCCUACAUUUUAGGGCAGCACUCUAAUUACAGAGCAGGAUUUCUGAGUCUAAAAUCUUUCUUGUGGGCUUGAUAAUUUUUGUGUUUUCCUCCUUUAGACAUAACCUUGAUGAUAACCUUGAUACGGGAUAUGUUUCCCUUGGAAUGCCAAACAAAGAUCGUUUUAUGCUUUUGAGUCAUAGUUAUAAAUAAUGUUGCUUAUUAUAUACUCCAAACUCAUUCAACAAAAAUUUAUGGAGCACGUACUCUGGGCCAACAUUGUUGCAGCCACUAAGGAUAUAGCAGGGAGCUAAACUAAGUCCCUGUCCUCAUGGAACUGACCUUCCAGUAUGGGAAGACAGAACACCCAGUAGUUCUGUGGCAGGGUAAGUGGCCUCUCACUGUUGUGGCCUCUCCCGUUGCAGAGCACAGGCUCAGCGGCCAUGGCUCACGGGCCCAGCCGCUCCGCGACGUGUGGGAUCCUCCCAGACCGGGGCACGAACCCGUGUCCCCUGCAUCGGCAGGUGGACUCUCAACCACUGCGCCACCAGGGAAGCCCUCUGCUCUUCUUUUUGGAUCAUUAUAGAUCAAAGAAAAUCUUCUUGGGCAAAUCUUGAAAUUAAGAAAAUAUUGGGAUUGUGCUCCA